GUAGAAGUACACUUAUAUUUCAGUAUUCAAUGAUACUCUGUUCAUGGUGACGAAAUUCACACUAGUAAUCAAUGCUGGAAAUUCCUUAGAGUCAGUCCAACACAUGCUAUUGUAUUUAAUAAUUGGAUUGUGUAUUCAAGGUCAUGCGCUCUUCAUCAUAUGCAGAUACUUACAGAGAAAUUAAACCACCACAAUAAUAUAACUACAAUAUUGUAUGUUUUUCCUGGGGCACAUGGAGCAAAAUGAGAAAAAACAAUCAUAUGGCUCUCAAAUGGAUUUUCCUUCACACGCAGUCAAAAUAUGUCACCGCUCAUUUUUGUGCAAGUUUUUCAAGUUCUGAAGAUUAUGAGUUGAGAAGAAAUGACAGCAGUGGCCUUGGAAAUUGGUUAGAAGACAUGCAAAGAUGUGGUGAUGAUGCUAUGCAGCAAACUGAAAUCAGCCUCUUGUCAAAUUGCACAGCUUGGCACAGCUGUGUGAAAAUUUUUACUACAGAAGAAAACAGCACAGAAAGAUAAAGAAGAAAGGAAGGAUGGAUGCUCCUGCAACCUGAAGACUGGACCAAGAGGCAGCAGAUCUGGAGUGAGCUUUCAUAUUUGCCACAGAGCUCUUAUGUAAGUUUGGAAUGGUCUCUUAGAUGCUGAGCCAGUAAUAUUAACUCAGCACAUCCCACUGACUUCAGUUUCUGGCAAGACUUGAAUCACACAUGACAUCCUAAACUACCAAAUUUUUUCCUGUUACUCUAGCCACGCUACAUAGAAUAAAGCUUUCUUUUACCUAAGAUAAUGGAGGUGUUCUUUUGAGUUUAUAUACUAUAAAGGUUCAGUCUUUGUUACGCACACAAAAUUACGCUGGA
ensembl:lncRNA